rnacentral:rRNA from 1 species
UAGCAAUACGAUGGAAAGUCUAGUGGCGAACGGGUGCUUAACACGUGGGCAACCUGCCAGGAAGUGGGGGAUAGCUCGCCGAAAGGCGAAUUAAUACCGCAUGUGAUUAGAGAGGACAUCCUUUCGAAAUUAAAGUCGGGGCAACCUGACGCUUCUUGUGGGGCCCGCGGCCUAUCGGCUAGUUGGUGUGGUAAAGGCUCACCAAGGCUUUGACGGGUAGCUGGUCUGAGAGGACGACCAGCCACACUGGGACUGAGACACGGCCCAGACACCUACGGGUGGCAGCAGUCGAGAAUUUUUGACAAUGGGGGAAACCCUGAUCGAGCGACGCCGCGUGGAGGAUGAAGGUCUUCGGAUUGUAAACUCCUGUCAUUGGCGAACAAGGUGCAUACGUUAACUGCGUGCGCAUUGAUAGUACCCGAAGAGGAAGAGACGGCUAACUCUGUGCCAGCAGCCGCGGUAAUACAGAGGUCUCAAGCGUUGUUCGGAUUCAUUGGGCGUAAAGGGUGCGUAGGCGGCGCGGUAAGUCGGGUGUGAAAUCUCGGAGCUUAACUCCGAAACUGCAUUCGAUACUGCCGUGCUUGAGGACUGGAGAGGAGACUGGAAUUCACGGUGUAGCA